CCAACGUGGAUAUCCUGAGGGUCACUCCCCCAGGCUCUGUUCAGGUGGCGAAAGGGAGCAUAGGGCUCUGCCCUGUGAUGUACAGUCCCAUUCCACAACGUUGGAUAUCAAGCUGGGCCUUGUGUCUGCACCUGCAUAUUCCUAAACCUCCUCAGAGUCUUUUGGACUAUGACUGAGGAGACAAACCAUGCAGGAAACAGUA